AUGGACGAGUUGGUUGAAUAGUCCCCCCAUUUUCGUCUGGUUUUUUUUCGACUGGUUUUUUUUCGACUGGUUUUUUCCGUCCCCACACCCACCACACGCACGCAAAAAAACACCACCCGGCACAAACACCUCUCGUAUCGAUCCCCUCGAGGAGAAGCCGUCGCCCCCAUCUCCCGCUCCGCCGCCACCGCCCCCCGCCUUACCGUAUCACCCCCGCCGCCGCCUCCCUCGCCCGCGGCCAUGAUGAGAUCUGGCGUGGGCACCGCAGAUCACCCUCUGGUGCAUGGCCUCGACCAGUUUGCUAUGAUCUGGCGACGGGGAUGCAAGGAGAAGCUGCUGCGGUUUCAAGGGGCCGUGAGGAUGCCCACCAUGAAGGCGUGUCUGGGAUGAUGGAGGUGAUAUCCAGGCCCUGGUGAUAUCGGCCAGGUCCCCGUUGCCGUCGACUGGCGGCGGCCACCGUGUCCUCUUCCAUGGCGUCGGCGGGGCCUUCCCCUGCCAAGCGCAGCCGCUCCUUGGCUGGAUCACCGUCGCACACCUCGCCGGCGUGGUCGGCAAGAUCUGCAUCUCGAUCCUCGCCACUCUCCAUCCUCUUGCAGGUUUAUAAAUUUCGAAAUAUAGUUGCAGCUUCACGGAAUGGACGGCCCAAAUUAUGUUAGUGUCUAUAUGUUUACUUGGUGGUGGUCUAGCAUGAGUGACACCUGCAUCUGUAACUUACCCAUUGGAUGUUGUUCGAAAUCACCUGACAACACAGGUGAUGCUUUUCUUCCUUUUGUGAUUUGUGAAUAACACUAAGCCAAUCAAUCAAUCAAUAUAACUUCCAGUUAGAACUUAGAGCAUCUUUACCUAACGCUUUCAUGCAAUGCAGCUUUACAGACCAAAGGAACAGGUUUUAGUAAGCUAAACUUUCAUGUCUAUAAAA